GACGAAGGAUGCAAGCGUUAUCCGGAUUCAUUGGGUUUAAAGGGAGCGUAGGUGGACUGAUAAGUCAGUGGUGAAAUCUUCGAGCUUAACUCGGAAACUGCCAUUGAUACUAUUUGUCUUGAAUACUUUGGAGGUAAGCGGAAUAUGUCAUGUAGCGGUGAAAUGCUUAGAUAUGACAUAGAACACCAAUUGCGAAGGCAGCUUACUACACAGUUAUUGACACUGAGGCACGAAAGCGUGGGGAUCAAACAGG
rnacentral:rRNA from 1 species